rnacentral:rRNA from 1 species
GGAGGAAAGCAGGGGAUCGUAAGACCUUGCGUUAAUGGAGCGGCCGAUAUCUGAUUAGCUAGUUGGUGAGGUAAAGGCUCACCAAGGCGACGAUCAGUAGCUGGUUUGAGAGAACGACCAGCCACACUGGAACUGAGACACGGUCCAGACUCCUACGGGAGGCAGCAGUGGGGAAUUUUGGACAAUGGGGGCAACCCUGAUCCAGCCAUUCCGCGUGAGUGAAGAAGGCCUUCGGGUUGUAAAGCUCUUUCGCAAGGGAAGAAAACUUAUGAUCGAAUAAAUCAUGAGAUUGACGGUACCUUGAUAAGAAGCACCGGCUAACUACGUGCCAGCAGCCGCGGUAAUACGUAGGGUGCGAGCGUUAAUCGGAAUUACCGGGCGUAAAGCGUGCGCAGGCGGUUUUGUAGGUCGGAUGUGAAAUCCCCGGGCUCAACCUGGGAACUGCGUUUGAAACUACAAAGCUAG